rnacentral:rRNA from 1 species
AUUGAACGCUGGCGGAAUGCUUUGCACAUGCAAGUCGAACGGCAGCACGGACUUCGGUCUGGUGGCGAGUGGCGAACGGGUGAGUAAUGUAUCGGAACGUGCCCAGUCGUGGGGGAUAACGUAGUGAAAAUUACGCUAAUACCGCAUACGAUCUAUGGAUGAAAGCGGGGGAUCGCAAGACCUUGCGCGAUUGGAGCGGCCGAUAGCAGAUUAGGUAGUUGGUGGGGUAAAGGACCACCAAGCCAACGAUCUGUAGCUGGUCUGAGAGGACGACCAGCCACACUGGAACUGAGACACGGUCCAGACUCCUACGGGAGGCAGCAGUGGGGAAUUUUGGACAAUGGGCGAAAGCCUGAUCCAGCCAUUCCACGUGCAGGAUGAAGGCCCUCGGGUUGUAAACUGCUUUUGUACAGAACGAAAAGGUUUCUACUAAUACUAGGAGCUCAUGACGGUACUGUAAGAAUAAGCACCGGCUAACUACGUGCCAGCCGCCGCAGUAA